rnacentral:misc_RNA from 1 species
GGUAGGUGCAUUUUUGAAUAAAAUGCCAUGAAUGGCCAUGAAUUUUUCAGCAACCCUUUCGCGAUUUUUUUCUAAUUAACUAAAUAAAAUUUCAUCCAUUAAUCAGUAUUUGAAGUUCGUCUCUAGUUCGGAUCUCCUACUAUGUUACUCUCAAUAAGUGCAAAAAAAUUAUUAUAAUGACAUUAUUAACUGUAUGAACAGAUAUUAAUUGUAUGUAUAUAUUAUUGUAUCUAUAACAUUAUUUAUUACUGUGAGUAAUGAGUUAUCUCUAUUUUGCCAUAUAAAUUUUAAAUACCUCAGAUAUAUAUUAUAAUCUCUAUAUUAUAAUCUUAAAUACUUCUUAUAUAUAUAAAUAAUUUUGGUCAUUUGUCGCAACUUGUUUUGAGAAGUAUGUCUGUCGUUAGGUAAUUUAGUUACAAAAAUAUAUAAAAUGAAAAAAGUAAUUGUUCAGUUCGCAGAGUUAAAAUAAAUAAAUUUCUAAAAUAAAAGAAGUUAAAGUCCCUCCUUAUUACAUCAACUACCUGCCAGUGAAAGACCCGUCAAAAGCCCAGCUGUUUCAGAGAUUAGUCGGAACAAACAGAAAGACAGAUAGACAGACAAAAAUUGUAAAAAAUGUUAUUUUAGUAUAUGUACCUACCGUGUAUACAUCCAUAUAAUCAUUUAGGCAAGUUAUUUUAACAUUACAAACAGAAAUCCAAUUUUAUUUAUUUGUAUAGAUAUGUAUAUUUUUUCGUCUUCAACAUCAGAAAAUAA